UGUGAGGUCAUCGCUCGCCUGCCUGGAGACCACCGCUCGCUGGGUAAUCAAUUCUCCAGCAUCAAAUCGAGCCACCACCGACUUGAGGAUCUCUGUGGUGAUAGACGGCAGUGCCCGCUCAUUUUAGUCCUCGCCAAUGCUGGUGUAGAUAUGAGGAAGCUGGCUGGCCACCGGCCGGAAGAGGAUGUGAAGUACGAUGUUGACGUUCUGCAAGUCUUUGCCACCAGUGAUGACUGGUACAUUCCCUGGUCGAGAGCUGCAGUCAAAGAUAAUUGGCUUCUGUACCCAAGGGUUGAGAACCUCCGAAAAAAAAGAAAACAA
rnacentral:lncRNA from 1 species